UCUAGCUGCAAAGUAUAAUCAUAUGGUAGGGAGAACCGCGUCAGUUAUAUCUCCCAUCUAUUCCUAACUCCCUGAUUCUAAGUCACAACUCCAAGUCACGAUGUUUGUUGCUUAAGUCUUGAAAUUGAAAGACUAGACAGAAGAGAAAAGGAUCAAGCAAUGAUCUCCAGAUUAUGCUGACCUACAUAGUAAAUUGUGAUUUUUUUAUUUGUAUUAUCUCGUGCUUUGUAGUUGAAUAAUAAAAAAAAAUAUGAGAU